UCGAGAUGACCAAAUCUUUACGCUUCGACUCAGCCUCAAACACAAGCAGGCGCUUCACCUCAUCUCCCAGCUUCAGCAGCUGCUGCUCCUGCAGGGUGGCACAUCCAGGACCCUGUUAGGCUACUAAGCAGGUCGGAAGACAUACUAAGGCUCCCACAAUGCCGUGCGGGAUGGCGUGUGGCACAGUUUGGCAUCAGCCAUCAUAGAGUGCGAUCGUGUCGCGAAAGUUCUCUGCGCCGUGCCUCCAUGUGACUCACCCUCUGGCGCAGCAGCCGUCGGGCUGUGUAUGGAGGAGCUUAGCCUCCGGCUGCCUGCGCUGUGG